AAGUGCGUCGUAGUCCGGAUUGGAGUCUGCAACUCGACUCCAUGAAGUCGGAAUCGCUAGUAAUCGUGGAUCAGAAUGCCACGGUGAAUACGUUCCCGGGCCUUGUACACACCGCCCGUCACACCAUGGGAGUGGGUUGCAAAAGAAGUAGGUAGCUUAACCUUCGGGAGGGCGCUUACCACUUUGUGAUUCAUGACUGGGGUGAAGUCGUAACAAGGUAACCGUAGGGGAACCUGCGGUUGGAUCACCUCCUUACCUUAAAGAAGC
rnacentral:rRNA from 2 species